GACGAACGCUGGCGGCGUGCCUAAUACAUGCAAGUCGAACGCAGUGGGGACGGGUGAGUAACACGUGGGUAACCUCCCAUCAGAGGGGAUAACACUUGGAAACAGGUGCUAAACCGAUACUGAUGGAUGGACCCGCGGUGCAUUAGCUAGUUGGUGAGGUAACGGCUCACCAAGGCCACGAUGCAUAGACGACCUGAGAGGGUGGCGGGCCAAGCUGGAGAUGAGAAACGGAGAAGGCUCCUACGGGAAGGAGUAGGAGAGAAGCAUGAGCAAUGGACGAAAGUCUGACCGAGCGAUGCCGCGUGAGUGAAGAGGGAAAUCGGAUCUUUAAACACUGUUGUUUGAGAGGCGGUAUAUAUCCAGAAUGCCACGGCUAACUGUGAGCUAGCAGCCGCGGUAAUAC
rnacentral:rRNA from 1 species